rnacentral:sRNA from 1 species
CAAACCAAACCAAACCAAACAUGAAAUUCAUGGUCCCACCGGCCAGCCUAUGCAGUGUAGAGUUCAAGAAUAGAACAUUCAGUUGGUGAAAGACUUCUUCAGAAGUACACAUUUCAUACACAUAUGACUCAAUUCAGGGUUGAAAUUUUGCUAGAGUGUCUUCUUCUAGCUGACUAUGAACAUAGCAGGCUUGUGAGAGCAGAGAGUCUAUCACAGACUCAUUGUAAUAGGCGCAACAGAGAUAUCUAUAUUAGAAAAUAGCUAUAUGGCGAUAGAAGAACAUAGAACACGCCAGAAUUAAUGA